UUUGGUCAUCAUUUCAUGCAAACUUAAUUAGCAGUGCUCUAAAAAAAGAAUACUGAAAACCAGUUAUUUGAUCUUAAUAUCUAAAAAAACUGUACCAUCUUGGCUCAUGUCUGCUUGUGCCUUUGGCUAAUGGGACCAUAAGGGUGUAGCUUUGUCCUGCCAGGACUCGGGGCGGUGGCAGGUCUCCUUGGGCGGGGACUUGCCGGAGCUGCUGAUUUUGGUGCAGCCCCGGCCAAUGGGGUCAGAGCAGCAUUGGUGUCCUUGCCCACAGGUUCCUUCUGUGUGUCACAGCCCCGUGUUCAAGAGGGUCACCAGCCAGGACUUCUCCCAAGGAGCCCGUGCCAGCUUCUGUGGAGGCCCCGUGGCCUUCCCACUGUGGCUGCGUCGGCAGCUGAGGGGGCUCCUUGUGCUGCUGUGGGCAGGCACAGCAGGGGAGGGUUUGCUUAGUUUUUCGUCUGUGCCUAAAGUUCAUGUCCAGCUGUCUUAGAUACUUUGGAAAACAGAUUCCUUCCGAAUCUGGGGGCAGGUUGGCCAGGCUGGGGGAGCCCCCAGGGCACGUGGCAGUGUGUCACAGGGCCCUUUGUGACACGGUGGGCAUUGCCAAUGGAUGGCACGGGGCAGGGUGUCACAGGGCCCUUUGUGACACGUGAUGACUUAAUACCGGUGGUGAGGUGGCCACGCCUCAGUGCUCCUCGGAGCGUGCGACGGGACAGACGGGACAGAGCGGUGCUGUGCGGAGCCCCCGUGCAGCCAACUCGUUCCUUACUGAUCCGGAGCUUUUUGGAGUCUUCUCUGUGGUUCAAGCGCCCUCGAGGCCAGACCGCGGGACUUGGUGACCCGGAGCUUUUCUGCGGUGUCUCCAAUCCCUGCGGCAGGUGCCAUCGAGGCCAUUCUCUGGGGCUUCGUGCCCCAGAGCUUUUCCCUGGCGUCUCCAAUCCCUGCAGCAGGUGCCCUUGAGGCCCAACUGUAGGAUGGCAGGGAGACGCUUCAGCCUGUGCAGGGUUCUCAGGAGGAAGAAGAAGACCGGAGACCCUGGGACUUCCCCUGCACAGCAGCCUGAAGAGAUGCAGCAGGUCCAACCCCUGCAGGAGGAUCCAGGCCGAGUCCAGACAGAAGAGCAGGACCACGCCCAUGGCCGGUUCCACAGGGCGGCACAGGCCUUUCUGAAAUUCUUGGGCAUUCGGCGUACAAAGACCGGGAGAACACCAACCGAGGUCAUGGCACAGCCUGACCCCAUGCCGAAGGAGCUCAAGGCAAAGCCUGAUGUCGGCACCGUGUCAACUGAUGGCACAGCAACCUGUGACACCGCGGUGACCGAUGAGCUGAUGAACACCGACAGCAAACCUGUUCAGCGCCUGGCCGAUGCUCCGAGUCUGGACUUUGUUGAGGAGAGCGUUGUCUCUGCUCAAGUAGCCGUGGAGCCAGACAGAGGCAUGGAGCAGAGACCGCCCAGGGUGCCCAAGCUGGCCUGGCUGAAGGAGGGGGAGGAGGAAAGCCCUGGGCCUGCCCCAGCCCAGCACCCUGAGGAUGUGGAGCAGUUCCAGCCCCUGCAGGAGGAACCAGGCCGGGUCCAGACAGAAGAGCAGGACCGCGCCCAUGGCCGAUUCCACAGGGCAGCACAGGCCUUUCUGAAAUUCUUGGGCAUUCGGCGUAGAAAGACCGGGAGAACACCAACCGAGGUCAUGGCACAGCCUGACCCCACGCCGAAGGAGCUCAAGGCAAAGCCUGAUGUCGGCACCGUGUCAACUGAUGGCACAGCAACCUGUGACACCGCGGUGACCGAUGAGCUGAUGAACACCGACAGCAAACCUGUUCAGCGCCUGGCCGAUGCUCCGAGUCUGGACUUUGUUGAGGAGAGCGUUGUCUCUGCUCAAGUAGCCGUGGAGCCAGACAGAGGCAUGGAGCAGAGACCGCCCAGGGUGCCCAAGCUGGCCUGGCUGAAGGAAGGGGAGGAGGAAAGCCCUGGGCCUGCCCCAGCCCAGCACCCUGAGGAUGUGGAGCAGUUCCAGCCCCUGCAGGAGGAUCCAGGCCAGGUCCAGACAGAAGAGCAGGACCACGCCCAUGGCCGAUUCCACAGGGCGGCACAGGCCUUUCUGAAAUUCUUGGGCAUUCGGCGUACAAAGACCGGGAGAACACCAACCGAGGUCAUGGCACAGCCUGACCCCAUGCCGAAGGAGCUCAAGGCAAAGCCUGAUGUCGGCACCGUGUCAACUGAUGGCACAGCAACCUGUGACACCGCGGUGACCGAUGAGCUGAUGAACACCGACAGCAAACCUGUUCAGCGCCUGGCCGAUGCUCCGAGUCUGGACUUUGUUGAGGAGAGCGUUGUCUCUGCUCAAGUAGCCGUGGAGCCAGACAGAGGCAUGGAGCAGAGACCGCCCAGGGUGCCCAAGCUGGCCUGGCUGAAGGAGGGGGAGGAGGAAAGCCCUGGGCCUGCCCCAGCCCAGCACCCUGAGGAUGUUGAGCAGUUCCAGCCCCUGCAGGAGGAACCAGGCCGGGUCCAGACAGAAGAGCAGGACCGCGCCCAUGGCCGAUUCCACAGGGCGGCACAGGCCUUUCUGAAAUUCUUGGGCAUUCGGCGUACAAAGACCGGGAGAACACCAACCGAGGUCAUGGCACAGCCUGACCCCACGCCGAAGGAGCUCAAGGCAAAGCCUGAUGUCGGCACCGUGUCAACUGAUGGCACAGCAACCUGUGACACCGCGGUGACCGAUGAGCUGAUGAACACCGACAGCACACCUGUUCAGCGCCUGGCCGAUGCUCCGAGUCUGGACUUUGUUGAGGAGAGCGUUGUCUCUGCUCAAGUAGCCGUGGAGCCAGACAGAGGCAUGGAGCAGAGACCGCCCAGGGUGCCCAAGCUGGCCUGGCUGAAGGAGGGGGAGGAGGAAAGCCCUGGGCCUGCCCCAGCCCAGCACCCUGAGGAUGUGGAGCAGUUCCAGCCCCUGCAGGAGGAACCAGGCCGGGUCCAGACAGAAGAACAGGACCGCGCCCAUGGCCGAUUCCACAGGACAGCACAGGCCUUUCUGAAAUUCUUGGGCAUUCGGCGUACAAAGACCGGGAGAACACCAACCGAGGUCAUGGCACAGCCUGACCCCACGCCGAAGGAGCUCAAGGCAAAGCCUGAUGUCGGCACCGUGUCAACUGAUGGCACAGCAACCUGUGACACCGCGGUGACCGAUGAGCUGAUGAACACCGACAGCACACCUGUUCAGCGCCUGGCCGAUGCUCCGAGUCUGGACUUUGUUGAGGAGAGCGUUGUCUCUGCUCAAGUAGCCGUGGAGCCAGACAGAGGCAUGGAGCAGAGACCGCCCAGGGUGCCCAAGCUGGCCUGGCUGAAGGAAGGGGAGGAGGAAAGCCCUGGGCCUGCCCCAGCCCAGCACCCUGAGGAUGUGGAGCAGUUCCAGCCCCUGCAGGAGGAUCCAGGACAGGUCCAGACAGAAGAGCAGGACCGCGCCCAUGGCCGAUUCCACAGGACAGCACAGGCCUUUCUGAAAUUCUUGGGCAUUCGGCGUAGAAAGACCGGGAGAACACCAACCGAGGUCAUGGCACAGCCUGACCCCACGCCGAAGGAGCUCAAGGCAAAGCCUGAUGUCGGCACCAUGUCAACUGAUGGCACAGCAACCUGUGACACCACGGUGACCGAUGAGCUGAUGAACACCGACAGCGAACCUGUUCAGCUCCUGGCCGAUGCUCCAAGUCUGGACUUUGUUGAGGAGAGCAUUGUCUCUGCUCAAGUAGCCAUGGAGCCAGACAGAGGCAUGGAGCAGAGACCGCCCAGGGUGCCCAAGCUGGCCUGGCUGAAGGAGGGGGAGGAGGAAAGCCCUGGGCCUGCCCCAGCACAGCACCCUGAGGAUGUGGAGCAGUUCCAGCCCCUGCAGGAGGAUCCAAGCCAAGACUGAACAGAGAAGCAGGACCGUGCCCGGGGCCGCUUCCGCAGGGCAGCACAGAUGGUUUGUGAAUUCACCCGGUGCAUUUGGAGGGAAGAGACCAUUGCCAUGGGCGCUGGGGGCAUGGCAAACUCUGACUUCCACAAUGCUGAAACCAGUGCUGCCCUGUUGGAUUUGCUCAUGGAAAAUGGUGUCUCCAAUCCCAAGAAUGUGCCAGCCUUCGUGAGGUACAUCCACCCGUGGCUCACGUCCAGUGUGUCUCCUGAGCACAGACUAGACAAGACUCUUCUGGAUCUGGCCGAGGCACACCCCGUGGAUGUGGUGGUGACUGGGCUGAAAACCUGGGUUAGGGGCAGAUUCAGGGGCACCAGGCCAGGUGCUCCUCCUGUGUCUCCCCUGGCCUCUCCCUCCCGCGCUCGGGCCUUGCCACGUGGAUGUCUCAGCACUGAGCGCUGCCUCCAGCUGUUUUACUUUUUUGCAGGCAAACGUGGCGCUGUGGACGAUCCUCCAGCUGCCCUCGUGCCCACGUACAGUGAGGGAGUGUUUCCCCAGCCUCUUUGUGCAUCUGCUCUUCCAGGUGUUCUUCAACGCAGCGCAUAGGCUGGAGGAGGACGACGCCUUCUGGAGGGAAUGCCAGGACCAACACAGCCUUCCCACCAACCCCAACAGGUUUGCAGUGCUGACCAUCAAAGCCCUGCUGCGCCAUCUGCGGUGUGAGGGUGUGGUGAUGGCACUGGAACGCAAGUGUGGCUGGGACACGCUGCUCAGCGCUGACACCCACCACUACGCAAUGGGUCUGCUGGCCAGGGAGAUAGUCUGUAUCUGCACACCCUGGUGUUGCAGGAUUGUAUGCUGCCUCCUGGAGCUGCUCAGUGAAGAGAUGUGUCCCUGGGAGCUCCCUGCCAUGGCGUUCCUUGUGGAGGUCCUGGUGUACCUGGAUGUGACAGAAUGUGGUGAAAGCAUCCUGCAGAUCCUUUUGAGGCACCUGUGGAGUGAGUGCCCAGAGAUGCGUUGCCAAGUGCUCAGAGGCCUCGUGGUGCUCAGCCAGGAUCCCGUGAUGGCCAAAAGAAUGGGCAGCCUGACUGAAAGCCUUGAGGAGCUCCUGUGGGAUUCAGACAGAGAGCUGGUCAGGAUGACUGCCACUGUCCUCGAAUUUCUGUCCUCGGAGAAAGACAUCUGACACCAGCCCUGCAGCUGGCUGAGGCGCUCCAGCCACUCUUUGACAACCCCUCCGAGGUAUGAAGAAUGACAGCAGCCCCGCUAUCUCAAGCCUGGCGUUUCAAACCUGCUCUGCGGAGCAGUUUCUGGCUGUGCUGCCAGAGCUCUGUGGAGAGUUGAUGUGGGAAGCUGUGUGUGCUGGGGCCACGUGAACCUGCGAGGAAGACCCCUUCUCUGCAAGCACUUUCCUUUAUCCCAGCAUGGGAAUAUAAAAUUCCUUUUGUCACAUACAGAGCCUCAGGAGUGUUUUUUGGUGCCCAGUUUCCACAGGGCACUGGGAAAGAGGGGAAAAAGGGUCCCUGUGCUCAGCAACACUUGCCCAGGUGUGCAGCGAGAAGAGAAGGUGCCCUAAGUCCCCUUGGCCUUUGGUGGUUCUGCUGAAGCCUCAAAGUUUCCACGGAGCAGUUUGCUGAACGUGUUUUCCUAUGUGAGAAGUAGAUGGACCUUUUGGACUCUGCAAGACUGAAAGUGCAUCACGCUACCUACAGCAGAGGUUGAAAGUGCCGUGUACCAUGGUGGUGUGUGCAGUUCUCAGGCUGCAAGGAAAAGUAAGUCCCACUUGAUUGUGGUGCAAAUACAAGUUUGCAAAUGGAAGGGAAGGUCGGUGAAAUUCUUCUGUUCUGGCACAUUUUCUUUGGCAGCAGGGGAGGACGUUUUCAACUUUGGAUCUUCCCGUUUGGAUAAGCCCGGUACGUUUACGUCUUUUUCAAGGACACGCCGACGUUCCCACUGUCGCUGUUCAACAGCUCCACGAGGUGGCGGUGUGUACAUAACAAACAACCCAAAAUGCAGCUCCGAAGGUGAAAACGUCCUGUCACAAUUCUCAAACGAAACGUGGCAGGACAGAAAAGGUGCCAGGACAAAAAGCUCUGGAGCUUGGCUUUUCCAUUCCCACUGGAGCAACAGCAGUUCACACGAUAGCACUGUAUACUAGGAAAAGCAAAUAAAUUCACCAAGACCAA